UGGGGCAAACAAAUGGCCGCUCCGUCCCGAUAUGUCGGGACGGAAAGGAAAGUCCGGACAUCCCAAGUUAGAGUUAAAACUUUAAUUUGCGACCAAGGCAAUGGAUAACGUCCAUCAUCCCGCAGUAUUGCGGGAUAGGGAAAGUGCCACAGAGACUAUACUAGCCAACGCGGAGCGUUGGUAAAAGGUGAAAAGUUGGGCGAUGUUAAUGUUCGUUUUGAGGAUAUCCUAACGAGCAAUUUAUUACGCCCUUUCUUUGCUGGUGACAGCAAAAGAUGGUAAACCCUGCCUGAUGCAAGAGCAAAUUUCUCCCGCAACCCCAGUCAGCUAAAUCAGCCGACGGGGUAAAUACUGCGGGAGAAGGAACGUAGCUCGCUUGAUCCCGAUGGCAACAUCGGGGCUAGAUAAAUGGCCAUUCCAACUCGCCUAACCGCUUUAGCUGUUGGCGGGCCAGACAGAAUCCGGCUUAUCGUUUGUCCCAUUUA
rnacentral:RNase_P_RNA from 1 species